rnacentral:rRNA from 1 species
ACGAACGCUGGCGGCAGGCCUAAAACAUGCAAGUCGAACGGGUGUAGUAAUACAUCAGUGGCGCACGGGUGAGUAACGCGUGGGAAUGUGCCCCUUAGUACGGGACAACGUCGGGAAACUGACGCUAAUACCGUAUAAUAUCUCAGGAUCAAAGAUUUAUCGCUGAGGGAGCAGCCCGCGUCUGAUUAGCUAGUUGGUGAGGUAAUGGCUCACCAAGGCUACGAUCAGUAGCAGGUCUGAGAGGAUGAUCUGCCACACUGGGACUGAGACACGGCCCAGACUCCUACGGGAGGCAGCAGUGGGGAAUAUUGGACAAUGGGGGAAACCCUGAUCCAGCCAUGCCGCGUGAGUGAUGAAGGCCCUAGGGUUGUAAAGCUCUUUCGGUGGGGAAGAUAAUGACGGUACCCACAGAAGAAGCCCCGGCUAACUUCGU